rnacentral:rRNA from 1 species
CCUACGGGGGGCAGCAGUGGGGAAUAUUGGACAAUGGGCGAAAGCCUGAUCCAGCCAUGCCGCGUGUGUGAAGAAGGCCUUCGGGUUGUAAAGCACUUUCAGUGGGGAAGAAAGCCUUGGGGCUAAUACCCUCGAGGAAGGACAUCACCCACAGAAGAAGCACCGGCUAACUCCGUGCCAGCAGCCGCGGUAAUACGGAGGGUGCGAGCGUUAAUCGGAAUUACUGGGCGUAAAGCGCGCGUAGGCGGUCUGAUAAGCCGGCUGUGAAAGCCCCGGGCUCAACCUGGGAACGGCAUCCGGAACUGUCAGGCUAGAGUGCAGGAGAGGAAGGUAGAAUUCCCGGUGUAGCGGUGAAAUGCGUAGAGAUCGGGAGGAAUACCAGUGGCGAAGGCGGCCUUCUGGACUGACACUGACGCUGAGGUGCGAAAGCGUGGGUAGCAAACAGGAUUAGAUACCCGAGUAGUC